rnacentral:rRNA from 1 species
CCUUAUAGAGUUUGGGCUCAACCCAAUUGCUAUGAAUGUGGUAUUUGGAGACUUAAAUGUUGUCUGUUUGACUGCGUCGGUCUCCAUCUUAAAGGUAACGUAUUUUUUAGUAGUAGUUCUCUGUACGGACGAACUUCGUACUGUUGUUGUAAAGGCAAAAGAGAGCGUGAUUGCAAGACAGACAGGUCGAGCAAGUAUGCAAACCGGACGGAGUGCUCCGCUGGUUCUGCGUGGCCGGGCCAUCGCUCAACGGAUAAAAGCUACCCGGGGGAUAACAGGACUAGCUCCCCCAAGUGUCCACAUCGACGGGGAGGUUUGGCCCCUGGAUGUCGGCUCAGCACAUCCUGGGGCUGUAGUAGGUCCCAAGUGUUGGGCUGUGCGCCCAUUAAAGUGGUACGCGAGCUGGGUUCAGAACGUCGUGAGACAG